rnacentral:rRNA from 1 species
UACGGAGGAUCCGAGCGUUAUCCGGAUUUAUUGGGUUUAAAGGGUGCGUAGGUGGGAUAUUAAGUCAGUGGUGAAAGCCCGCAGCUCAACUGCGGAACUGCCAUUGAUACUGAUGUUCUUGAGUACAGAUGGGGUAGGCGGAAUGUAUCAUGUAGCGGUGAAAUGCUUAGAUAUGAUACAGAACACCAAUCGCGAAGGCAGCUUACCAAACUGUUACUGACACUGAGGCACGAAAGCAUGGGUAGCGAACAGG